rnacentral:lncRNA from 1 species
GAAAUGGUUCCAGGGCAGAUCAAAAUAUUCANAAAGACAUAAAACAUCAGUGAAAUCAAUAGAGCAUUCUUAAAUUUAAAAACAUGCUAUAUUAAAAAAUAAAAAAGCUGCUAAAUUUAAAAAGCUGCUAUAGCCCUAUCCUGGGAGCCCGUAGAAGGGCACCCAAGUUUUUUGGUGCUUUCAUGGCGACCGUACCAAAGGACAGUGCUCCAGCGCAGCCCUGGACGCGAUGAAAGGACAGCCGGCCGCGCAUGGCAUGAUGAGAAAUUCAGCAGCGUCUCGCCAGCCUGAGCUCGCUCGCUCCAUCUGAACCAGCCGCCCACAAUCCUUGCGGCUUCAGAAAAUGCAGCGCGCAUGCGCGUGGGCGGGGUCGGGCGCCGAGGGAGGCGGCCGGCCAGGCGCGCUCCCCGCCCCGCCCCAGAGCGAGCACGUCACACGCUGCACGUUCGUUGCCAUGGCGGCGGCGUGGGAGGGAUGCGUCUGCAGAGCUGAUUGACUAUGCCCGAAGGCGAAGCCCCGCCCACUUUCUCCGGCCUACGCCGCGUGAUCUGCCGCCAUGUUUCUGCCGCGAAAGGAUUGUGUCAAUAUCCCGCGUUUGGUGGAGCGCUGUCAAGACUUCGGGAAACGCAGUGUGGUGGACGGAAGUGCGCGCCGGACAGCGAAGACACUGCUUGCCAUAUUUGCAGCACAGUAAAAUAAAAGCAAACAAGCACGCAAUGUUAACCACAGUAACCCACUGCAUUAAGUCACCGCCUGUUCACCUCAGCUACAACCAUCACCGCUGCCGUCAAUAAGGCAGAAAGCAACCAGACACAUCUUUUUGGAGAGAAAGUGCACUGCAGGUAUGUUUUGUUUCUGAGUUGGAUCAUUUUGCUGCAGGUAGGUGUCCCUAGGCACGACCCAAGAGGCUGUAGAACGGUACAGGAAGGCCCUGCUUAACGCCGAGGUUCUUUCCCAGCAAGGCAUCGCUUGAAGCNAAACUCGCNUUAAAGCGAGAAANAGACCUUUAANGUUCGGGAAAANNCGUUAAAGNGUAACAGGAGCACUUAAUGCUGGAACAAGGUCUCAAUUNGUAAAUUGUGUUAUAUUGAAACCACGCAAACCAAAGGCAUUUGAGACAGGGCCUUGCUGUAUUUGUUCUACAGUGCUGGGUAGAAGUGUUGUGGGUCCUGGGGGUGGUGGGUGAACGGG